UUACGCAAACGCUGCUAAUUUUUGUUAGUAGAGGAAAGUCCACGCUCACACGAUCCUGUGAUAGGUCGUAGUGUUCAUGCAAAGGGAAUGAAUAACCUUUGGUAGGUAUAACCUAACGGCGCCGAAAUAUCCUAAGUCUUUUAGAUAAGGUUAUGUUAGGCAUAAAGUGCCAUAGUGACGAUUCGCUUUGGAAACGAAGCAAGUGGAACGGGUAAACCCCAUGAGUGAGAAACCCAAAUUUGGUAGGGGAACCUUUACGAAGGAACCGAACGGAGUAAAGGAUGCUGUUAAAGCAUAGAUAAAUGUUUGCGGCCAGUUAUCUGGUACAGAACGUGGCUUAUU
rnacentral:RNase_P_RNA from 1 species